CAGUGAGUCGGAUCUAAAAUCGAAAAAAUCAUUCUCAUUCUCUCAUUUUCGCAUCCUAUUCACGUUCACACUCACACGAGAGAAGAAGAAAAACUGUUGAAAUGUCGAGCGACAGCGACGAGGACGAGCUCCUCCAGAUGGCGUUGAAGGAGCAAGCUCAGCGAGAUCUCAACUAUGGCAAAUCCUCCUCCAAUUCCCGCAAGCCCGUCGCCAACUACGUCCAGCCACCGUCGUCUCAGCCCAAGAAGUCCGCGCCUCCGGCGAAGAAAUCGCAGAGCAAAGGGAGGGCGGUCGACGACGACGACGAUUCCGAAGUGGAGAUGCUCAGCAUAUCGAGCGGGGACGAGGACAACGCUAAAGAUCCGAUUCCUGCGUCGAGGAAUCGGGGAGAUGCUGGUGGCAGCGGUGGUGGAAGAGCAGGACCACGGGAGGAUGAUCGAACCUGGGACGGCGAGGAGCCUAGUCGCUGGAAGCAUGUUGACGAGACUGAGCUUGCCCGUAGGGUUCGUGAAAUGAGGGAAACAAGGACUGCACCUGUGGCUAAAAAAUACGAAAGGAAAGGUUCCGCAUUGGGUAGAAAGGGGCUUAACUACUUACAAUCAUUCCCUCGUGGCAUGGAAUGUGUUGAUCCACUGGGUUUAGGAAUCAUAGACAACAGAACAUUAAGGCUGAUCACCGAGUCUUCAGAUAGUUCUCCUAAGAUUAACAAGGAUAAUCAGGAUGGCAGCCUACGUGAGAAAUUACUUUAUUUUUCGGAGAACUUCGAUGCAAAGCUGUUCUUAUCACGAAUACACUGUAAUACAAGUGCUGCCGAUCUGGAAUCUGGUGCGCUUGGUCUGAAAACUGAUUUCAAAAGUCGUACUGAGCAGAGAAAGCAGCUGGUUAAGGACAACUUUGACUGCUUUGUUUCUUGCAAAACCACAAUCGAUGAUAUUGAGUCAAAGUUAAGACGAAUAGAGGAUGACCCUGAAGGAUCUGGAACUUCCCAUUUGUUUGAUAUUAUUCAAGGAGUCAGUUUGCAGGCUAAUCGUGCUUUGAAGCCUUUAUUUGAGAGACAGGCUCAAGCAGAAAAAAUUAGGACUGUCCAAGGAAUGCUACAGAGGUUCCGGACACUUUUCAACCUACCAAGUACUAUCCGUGGUAGCAUUAGCAAGGGUGAAUAUGAUUUGGCAGUCAGGGAGUACAAGAAGGCCAAGUCAAUUGCUCUGCCCUCUCAUAUUCAGGUAGGGAUCCUGAAACGUGUUCUCGAAGAGGUUGAAAAAGUGAUGAAUGAGUUUAAGUCUACGCUUUUCAAGUCUAUGGAAGAUCCGCAAAUAGAUCUAACAAAUCUUGAGAAUACUGUGAGGUUACUGUUGGAUUUGGAACCGGAGUCAGAUCCAGUGUGGCAUUAUUUGAAUAUACAGAAUCAGAGAAUUCGUGGUUUGCUUGAGAAGUGUACUUUAGAUCAUGAGGCCAGAAUGGAAAAUUUGCAUAAUGAAUUGCAUGAAAGGGCUCUUUCUGAUGCCAGAUGGAGGCAGAUUCAAGAAGAAUUGAGUGAAUCUUCAGAUAUCAACAACUCUCCUGUUCUUGGUAAUACCCAUUCCGCUGUCCAGUCUCAUCCAGUAGAUCUAACUGGUGAAGAAGUUGAUGGUUUAAGAGGAAGGUAUAUCCGCAGAUUAACUGCUGUAAUCAUCCAUCACAUACCAGCCUUCUGGAAGGUUGCACUCUCUGUUUUUAGUGGAAAAUUUGCAAAGUCUUCCCAAGUUCCCAGUGAUUCAAAUUCCAACAGUUCUGCAAAUAAAACUGAAGAAAAAGCUGGAGAUGGGAAAUAUUCAAGUCAUUCUCUUGAUGAAGUUGCCGCAAUGAUAUGCAACACAAUUUCGGUGUAUGGGGUCAAGGUUACUAACAUUUUUCGUGAUCUAGAGGAAUCAAAUGUCCUCCGGUCCUACAUGAGUGAUGCCAUAGAAGAUAUAUCCAAAGCAUGUGUAGCUUUGGAAUUGAAGGAAGCUGCACCUCCGAUUGCUGUCGGUGCUCUUCGAACACUGCAACCAGAGAUUAUAAGGAUUUAUGUUCUGAGGCUAUGCUCUUGGAUGCGAGGGUCAGUUGAAGAGGUUUCAAAGGAUGUGACAUGGGUUAUUGUUUCAAUUCUUGAAAGGAACAAAUCCCCAUAUGCAAUCUCAUACCUGCCUUUAACAUUCCGUUCAGUUGUGUCUUCAGCAAUGGAUCAAAUCAAUUCGAUGCUUCAGUCCUUAAGGAGUGAGGCAACAAAGUCAGAGGAUACAUUUAUGCAACUUCAAGAAAUUCAAGAAUCUGUUAGACUUGCAUUUUUAAACUGCUUCCUGGAUUUCGCUGGUAAUUUAGAGCGCAUUGGAAUUGAAAUUGGCCAACAUAGAUCCGACAAAGAAGGCUCCCAGUUGCCAAAUGGAUAUACUCAUGAAUUAGAAGAAAAUGCUCCUGAUCUUCAAGGAGGUGUCAGUGAUCCCCAUCAACAGUUAUUGAUUGUUCUAAGCAAUAUCGGAUAUUGCAAAGAAGAACUUUCUUAUGAGUUGUAUGACAAAUAUAGACAUAUCUGGAUGAAUUCCAGGGGGAAGGAUGAAGGAAACAGUGAUGUACAAGAUCUUGUGAUUUGUUUCUCAGGGCUUGAAGAGAAAGUCCUUGAACAAUAUACUUUUGCAAAGGCAAACUUGAUCAGAUCUGCUGCCAUGAAUUAUCUGUUGAAUUCUGGCAUCGAAUGGGGAGCAGCACCGGCAGUUAAAGGUGUCCGAGAUGCAGCAGUAGAGUUGCUGCACACAUUGGUAGCUGUGCAUGCCGAGGUUUUUGCUGGUGCUAAACCUCUCUUGGAUAAAACACUUGGCAUUCUUGUGGAAGGCUUGAUUGACACAUUCAUCAGCAUUUUUCAUGAAAAUGAAACUAAAGAUCUUAGAGCACUUGAUACAAAUGGAUUCUGUCAACUAAUGCUUGAGCUUGAGUACUUCGAGACUAUAUUAAACCCAUAUUUUACAUCUGAUGCAAGAGAUUCCUUGAAGUCUUUACAAGGUUUACUUUUGGAAAAAGCCACAGAGAGUGUGACUGAAGCUGUCGACAAUCCAGGACAUAAUCGUCGGCCAACUCGUGGUAGCGAAGAUGCACUAGCAGAUGAUAAACAACAAGGAACAACCGUAUCACCAGAUGAGCUCAUUUCUCUUGCGCAGCAGUUCAGCUCCGAGUUUCUUCAGUCAGAGCUUGAGCGCACACGAAUUAACACAGCAUGCUUUGCAGAAUCUAUUCCUUUGGACUCGGUGCCAGAGCCAGCCAAAUCUGCCUAUUCUCCCUUCAGGAACGCAAUGGAGUCUCCUAGCAAAAACUACAGAGGUGGAUGACAAUUACCACAUUUUAACGAGUUUUGAAUCAUAUGUCGGCCUUUUUGUGUGCCUUAAACCUAAAUCAAGGAAGCAAAUUCUACAUGGAGUGAGAUUAAUGAAUGUGGCUUGUCCGUCAUCUCUGUUAAGCGUUGCAUUAAACAAACCAAAAGAAUAUGCACUUUUAUCUGAUUGGUAAAAUUUAGUUAUGGUUCCCGAGG